UGGGGAAUUUUGGACAAUGGGCGAAAGCCUGAUCCAGCAAUGCCGCGUGUGUGAAGAAGGCCUUCGGGUUGUAAAGCACUUUUGUCCGGAAAGAAAUCCUUGGCUCUAAUACAGUCGGGGGAUGACGGUACCGGAAGAAUAAGCACCGGCUAACUACGUGCCAGCAGCCGCGGUAAUACGUAGGGUGCAAGCGUUAAUCGGAAUUACUGGGCGUAAAGCGUGCGCAGGCGGUUUGCUAAGACCGAUGUGAAAUCCCCGGGCUCAACCUGGGAACUGCAUUGGUGACUGGCAGGCUAGAGUAUGGCAGAGGGGGGUAGAAUUCCACGUGUAGCAGUGAAAUGCGUAGAGAUGUGGAGGAAUACCGAUGGCGAAGGCAGCCCCCUGGGCCAAUACUGACGCUCAUGCACGAAAGCGUGGGGAGCAAACAGGAUUAGAUACCCUGGUAGUCCACGCCCUAAACGAUGUCAACUAGUUGUUGGGGAUUCAUUUCCUUAGUAACGUAGCUAACGCGUGAAGUUGACCGCCUGGGGAGUACGGUCGCAAGAUUAAAACUCAAAUGAAUUGACGA
rnacentral:rRNA from 1 species